CAAUAGCAUAUAUUAACGUUGUUGCAGUUGAAAAGCUCGUAGUUGAACUUUUGGUAGGUGCGACCUGGCCUUGGGCGCAUGCCCUUGUUUGCCGUGUGUCGUAUCUGGCCAUCCUUUUCCGCUUCGGCGGGAAUCCUUUACUGUGAGUAAACUGGAGUGCUCAAAACAAGACGUUUGUUUGGUACAUUAAAGCAUGGAAUAAUAAGAUAGGACCUGGUUACUAUUUUGUUGGUUUGCAUAGCUAGGUAAUGAUUAACAGGGACAGUUGGGGGUAUUCGUAUUUAAUUGUCAGAGGUGAAAUUCUUGGAUUUAUGAAAGACGAACGACUGCGAAAGCAUUUACCAAGGAUGUUUUCAUUAA
rnacentral:rRNA from 1 species